rnacentral:misc_RNA from 1 species
ACAAAGGAUUUACUGCCGGUGGCAUGAUAUUAGGUAUUAAUGCCCUAAACUUCCAUCUAAUACGCUGGUUGCUAUAGGGUCUACCCCUAGGAUGCAUAAGACAGGUCGUACCUAGGAAGACCGAAAGCUGACCAGUGGCCACCUUAAUCCAGGGACGUAUAGUUUUCAUUAAGGUGCCCUGCCCUAGCGUCGUCUCUGUAUGGGGAUCAGCUGGUUUAAGCGGCAAAGACAUUUCUCAUUUCUGGUGCAGA